rnacentral:rRNA from 1 species
CGCUGGUGAGCCGGUUGGCCUGCCCAGGCCAGAGCCGGGUAGCUACGUCAGGCGAGGAGAAGCGCUGAAAGCAUCUAAGCGCGAAGCCGACCCCAAGAGGCGCUUCCCACUCCAGGCUGGCUUGCCAGCCGGAGAUAAGGUCCCAGGCAGACAACCUGGUCGAUAGACCGGAGGUGGACACCUGGUAACAGGUGCAGCUGACCGGCCCUAAUGACCGAACGGCUUGUGCCU